AAUAGACAGGAAAUGACAGCUGCAGGAAUAUCCCUUCAUCUCACACAGUUAUGGAGACACAGCAAGUUUCAGGAUGAAUGGGUUGUGAAGAGACAGAGACAGGACAGCCAUGGUAAACAGGGAACUGGACUUCUUGCAGCUCCAGUCUCCAUACAGCAUGGUGUCUUCUAGGUGAACUGACUUUACCUGGCUGAACAUGGAGGACGUAUUUUAUAUGAAGCAGAAAUAAAAAGACAGCAACAGGAACAUCUUCAUCUCACCCAGUUGUGCAAGACGCGGGAUGUGACAAGUUUUAAGAUGAAUGAACAGCCAGAGACAGGACAGCCAUUGUAAACAGAUAACUGGACCUCUUGCAGAUAGCAUACAAAUGUUUGUGGUUGUUUUUUUAUACAAAUAACGAUAGAGAGUGCUGCCAGAACCACCCAGAACAAGACUUCCAAACACGACAGAUCCUGUGGAGCCAGUUAUAUGGAACAGUCAAAUUACACAACAAAUGUGGGUUCCAGGUAACACAAAGAAUCAAUUUCCCCCAUAUGCAUGGAAUCUAUAGAGGCUGGGUAUAUAAAGCAAGGAGAUUGUGUUGGACAAUUCUCUAUCACUGAAAACAAAUAGACAUAUUGGAAAUGUUUAAGAGUGAAUUGAUAUUUCAGCUCAAGGUCGAUGCGUUAUAACGAUGCGUUUUAAUAAUUUUUCCCAUGUGCAUGGAAUCUGUUUCAGUGCUAGCUAUAUAUAUAUAUAGUAGAGAUAGCAUAUACAGUGAGAUUGUAGAAGACAAUAAACCUUCACUGAAGAGAAAAGGACACCAGUGAAAAUGUUUAAAUGUGAAUAUAUAUUUCAGGUCAGAUAUGAUGUGUUAUAGAUGAUCACUGUUAUUGCGAGUUCAUUAAGGUAUAAUUGCAAGUUUUAUCACAUAUUUAUUAUAUACAGACACUCAGUCUGUCUAUAUUCUGAUCACUGUGUCUGUCCAGUGUCAUUGCCAUAGUCAGCACUUUCUGACAUAUCUGUUGUUUACCCUAAAACUGAUUAAUGUAUUUUUGUUUUAAAUUCCUCUAGAAAAUCGGCAUGAUUGGAUUAUUUUAUGAUAUUGUUUUGUUAUUGUUAGCAGUUUGGUUAAGAUGCUACAGUAUUUCCUGAGUAUAUCAAAUUAAAGCAGCAAUGUAGAUGUGUUUGUGCAUCAGGAGUGUUGUUAGUGUAUCUGCCUGUUUCAGUGUAGAGUUUAUGCCCACUGGUGCGAAAACAACUAAGUCUUUUUCUUUUUUCAUCAUCUUGAACAACAUCCAGAUAUUUUUCCGUUUUAAAUGUAUUUUUGAACUGGCAAUAGGUGCUGGAUUUAGAUUUGUCCUUAAGUUAACUGUGCAAGUACGAAGCCACUGAUGAUGUGUUUUUUAAAUGUGCUAAGGAAUUUUAUGUGAGGAUUCGACAAUAUUACACCUCCAAAUCCGUUUCCAAUAGGAGUUUCAUGAUACCUUCACUCCAUGAGAAGUUACCAUCUUUCAGAUUUGACAAGCUUUUUGUUGAGAGUAAUUUGUAAUAUUAUAAUUCAUCUAUAGAUAUGCUUGUUUAGGUAGGUUGUUAUCAUCCAAGUGUUAUAUUUUAAGCCAAAAUUUUAUUAAUUGUAUUUUAAUCUUUAUGUGAGCAAGAAUUCUUCCAGUCUCUCCUCUUCCUGCAUACUUUGGUGAUAAAAGUUGUUUACAAAACCUGAGGUUAAGUUUUUACAAUUUUUACUGUUAGAGUAGUAUAACCUCAUAACUCUGAUGAGUAUGUUCAUGACUCCAUAAUGCCCCAGCUUUGGACAGAUGUUAUUAAGUCUGUAAUUUUCAUUGUUUCUUGAGCACAAACAUUUGGUUUUAUGGUCUCAUUGCCCGAGUAAAAUGGUCAUGGGAUAUUUUAUUUGAUUUUGAAAUCCUUCGGUAUGCAGGUUACUUUAGUCGGGGAAGCACG